rnacentral:rRNA from 1 species
GUGCCAGCCGCCGCGGUAAUACGAAAGGUGCGAGCGUUAAUCGGAAUUACUGGGCGUAAAGCGCGCGUAGGCGGCUUGUUAAGUCGGAUGUGAAAGCCCAGGGCUCAACCUUGGAACUGCAUCCGAUACUGGCGAGCUAGAGUGCAGUAGAGGGAGGUGGAAUUUCCGGUGUAGCGGUGAAAUGCGUAGAGAUCGGAAGGAACACCAGUGGCGAAGGCGGCCUCCUGGACUGACACUGACGCUGAGGUGCGAAAGCGUGGGGAUCAAACAGGAUUAGAAACCCCAGUAGUCC